UACGUAGGGUGCAAGCGUUGUCCGGAAUUAUUGGGCGUAAAGAGCUCGUAGGCGGCUCGUCGCGUCGACCGUGAAAACCCGCGGCUUAACUGCGGGCUUGCGGUUGAUACGGGCGGGCUAGAGUUCGGUAGGGGAGACUGGAAUUCCUGGUGUAGCGGUGAAAUGCGCAGAUAUCAGGAGGAGCACCGGUGGCGAAGGCGGGUCUCUGGGCCGAUACUGACGCUGAGGAGCGAAAGCGUGGGGAGCGAACAGG
rnacentral:rRNA from 1 species